rnacentral:lncRNA from 1 species
UUUAAUAUUGAUUAAAUAAAGGAACUAAAAUGGGAAUUGUCAAAGAGGGGUCAAAGUAUCAAACAAAAGUCCAACAAAAAUGUGAGAGGUCAACAAAAUUCAGAUGGACCUCAAAAGUUGGGGUUAAAAAUAUUUAAAAAUGAAUAAAAUAAAAAUACAAAAAGAAAAUUAAAUAAAAAAUAAAAUAAAAAAUGCAUUUAAUGCAAAAACGAUUUUAAAAAAAUGCAAAAAAUGGUAUGAGGUAAAAAAUAUUAUGGAAAAAAUUUGGAGUGAAAAAUGAUAAGGGAACUAUUUUUAAUUAAUUUUGGAAGAUAAUGAAAUUAAA